rnacentral:rRNA from 1 species
UACGUAGGGACCAAGCGUUGUUCGGAUUUACUGGGCGUAAAGGGCGCGUAGGCGGCGCUGUAAGUCACUUGUGAAAUCUCCGGGCUUAACCCGGAACGGUCAGAUGAUACUGCUUUGCUAGAGUGCGGAAGGGGCAAUCGGAAUUCUUGGUGUAGCGGUGAAAUGCGUAGAUAUCAAGAGGAACACCUGAGGUGAAGGACGGGUUGCUGGGCCGACACUGACGCUGACAUCGCGAAAGCCAGGGGAGCAAACGGG